UGGGGAAUAUUGGACAAUGGGCGCAAGCCUGAUCCAGCCAUGCCGCGUGAGUGAUGAAGGCCUUAGGGUUGUAAAGCUCUUUCGCCGGUGAAGAUAAUGACGGUAACCGGAGAAGAAGCCCCGGCUAACUUCGUGCCAGCAGCCGCGGUAAUACGAAGGGGGCUAGCGUUGCUCGGAAUCACUGGGCGUAAAGCGCACGUAGGCGGAUCGUUAAGUCAGGGGUGAAAUCCUGGAGCUCAACUCCAGAACUGCCCUUGAUACUGGCGAUCUCGAGUUCGAGAGAGGUUGGUGGAACUCCGAGUGUAGAGGUGAAAUUCGCAGUAUAUUCGGAAUCGGAAGCAACCACGUGGUCGGCAGGACGGGCCGCAAACCUGGCUCGAUACUGACGCUGAGGUGCGAAAGCGUGGGGANCAAAACGGAUUUAGAUACCCCUGGUAGUCCACGCCGUAAAACGUGGAUGCUAGCCGUUGGGGGGUUUUACCUCUCAGUGGCGCAGCUAACGCCUUAAGCAUCCCGCCUGGGGAGUACGGUCGCAAGAUUAAAACUCAAAUGAAUUGACGGGGUCAUAGCUGUUUCCU
rnacentral:rRNA from 1 species